rnacentral:rRNA from 1 species
GGCGGACGGGUGAGUAACGCGUGGGAAUCUACCCAGUAGUGGGGGACAACUACCGGAAACGGUAGCUAAUACCGCAUACGCCCUAUGGGGGAAAGGCUUCGGCCGCUAUUGGAUGAGCCCGCGUCAGAUUAGCUAGCUGGUAGGGUAAAGGCCUACCAAGGCAACGAUCUGUAGCUGGUCUGAGAGGACGAACAGCCACACUGGGACUGAGACACGGCCCAGACUCCUACGGGAGGCAGCAGUGGGGAAUAUUGGACAAUGGGCGAAAGCCUGAUCCAGCAAUGCCGCGUGUGUGAUGAAGGCCUGCGGGUUGUAAAGCACUUUCAGUUGGGAAGAUGAUGACGUUACCAACAGAAGAAGCACCGGCUAAAUCCGUACCAGCAGCCGCGGUAAUACGGAUGGUGCGAGCGUUAAUCGGAAUUACUGGGCGUAAAGCGCGC